rnacentral:rRNA from 1 species
UACGUAGGGGGCUAGCGUUGUCCGGAUUUAUUGGGCGUAAAGAGCGUGUAGGCGGCCAGAUAGGUCUGCUGUGAAAACUCGAGGCUCAACCUCGAGAUGUCGGCGGAAACCAUUUGGCUAGAGUCCGGAAGAGGAAAGUGGAAUUCCUGGUGUAGCGGUGGAAUGCGCAGAUAUCAGGAGGAACACCAAUAGCGAAGGCAGCUCGCUGGGACGGUACUGACGCUAAGGCGCGAAAGCGUGGGGAGCGAACGGG